rnacentral:misc_RNA from 1 species
CUCAUUAGUUAUAUGUGAUUUCUGGGCAGGGCUCAAGCUUAACAGCUAAAUCGUAUAGAGGAAUUUGUAAUGAACAAACUCCAGUUGUAGUCACACUGAAGACAAGGAUGAAUUCGCAGCUCGAAGAGAACACAUCGCGAUUAAGUUUUUGAAUUGGGAGCCUUUUUUUUACUUUAAGCUAAAAUAAUAGUUUGUUUGACUAUGUUGGACACCAUGUUGUUGCUGUAUUGCAAGUCGAAAUUGUAGGCGAGAUAUUUUACCUCAUGCUUUGAAAACGAAAGCAAGAUGAGUUUGCCAUACAAUGAACUAUAUUAGUAGGCGAUGUACCGAAACUGUAUGAAUUUAGCUUUCCUCAG